GCUACCUGAUGCCUUGCCAGCUUCGUUAUUGAUUAGCUAAACGAAAGCGGCGUGCGUCAUCACGCGCGUGAAUAACUAUCUGAUUUCU
rnacentral:ncRNA from 1 species